rnacentral:lncRNA from 1 species
CUCAAUGACAAUGGGACAUUCGUCUUGCUCUUCUCUGAAGAGGCGCACCUGUUUCCCACUGCACUCCGUCUCCCACGGCCUCCGCCUCCUGGCUUUUGUUCUCCAGGACGUAGACGUGAUCGUGAAGACGUAGCCUAUCUAUCAUCCUUUCUCCCUGAAAGGCACCUUGGCUGCAGUUAAUGACUGUAAUAAGAUCAAGCCACAGAAACCAUACCCCAAUCUCUUAUAUUCAGCUUUUUAAAAAUGGCUCCAUUGAGACAAAAAAAAUCAAAGGAUUCCACCAGAAAGGUCCUACUUCUCCAGCCAAACUGGACAUUUAUGAGGGGAAGAGUGCCUGACUUUUGCAUAUCCUCAGUUGUAGACAGUUUUUUGUUUUUUUUUUUUUGGUUUUUCUCUGGACCGGGAACCGAACUCACGACCUUGCGCUUGCCAGGCAGGCGCUUUUGCCGCUGAGCUAAAUCCCCAGCGCCCUCAGUUGUAGACAGUAAUAAAGCAUCAACAACAGAAGUUCAUACAUAUUUUACAAGUUGUUGAUAAUGAGAGAAGGAGAAGAAGGAACAGGAGGAGGGUGAGGAGGAGAAGAAAAAGAGGGAGGAGGAGGAGAAGAAGAGGAAGAAGUGAAAGGACAGAAACAGAAAUUUGGG